rnacentral:rRNA from 1 species
GAUGAACGCUAGCGGCAGGCCUAACACAUGCAAGUCGAGGGGUAGAGGCUUUCGGGCCUUGAGACCGGCGCACGGGUGCGUAACGCGUAUGCAAUCUGCCUUGUACUGAGGGAUAGCCCAGAGAAAUUUGGAUUAACACCUCAUAGUAUUUUAGUGUGGCAUCACAUUAUUAUUAAAGGUUACGGUACAAGAUGAGCAUGCGUCCCAUUAGCUAGUUGGUAUGGUAACGGCAUACCAAGGCUACGAUGGGUAGGGGUCCUGAGAGGGAGAUCCCCCACACUGGUACUGAGACACGGACCAGACUCCUACGGGAGGCAGCAGUGAGGAAUAUUGGUCAAUGGUCGCAAGACUGAACCAGCCAUGCCGCGUGCAGGAUGAAGCAUCUAUGGUGUGUAAACUGCUUUUGUACGGGAAGAAACACCGCUACGUGUAGCGGCUUGACGGUACCGUAAGAAUAAGGAUCGGCUAACUCCGUGCCAGCAGCCGCUGUAAGAC